rnacentral:other from 1 species
CGGGAACUGCCCGGUUCGUCAGACGCGUAAAUCCCGGGAGCCGAUAUCGACCUCCAGGGAGCUGUCCCUGCUCCGGGCCGUGGCCUGGAACACACGGCGCCCACCUGUCUAUGACGGGCUCACGGAGGAUUUCAGACCGUCAACGGCCAGGGUGGUCCCGCA